rnacentral:rRNA from 1 species
AACGGCUGGCGGCGUGCCUAAACACAUAGCAAAGGUCAACGGGGGACGAGACGGAAAACCUAGUGAAGGUCUGUCCGAGUGGCGGACGGGUGAGUAACGCGUGGAUAACCUGCCGCAUGCAGGGGGAUACCGGCUGGAAACAGCCGCUAAUACCGCAUAAGCGCACGGUGCCGCAUGGCAGAGUGCGAAAAGGAGAAAUCCGGCAAGCGAUGGAUCCGCGUCCGAUUAGCCAGUUGGCGGGGUAAGGGCCCACCAAAGCGACGAUCGGUAGCCGGCCUGAGAGGGCGGACGGCCACAUUGGGACUGAGACACGGCCCAGACUCCUACGGGAGGCAGCAGUGGGGGAUAUUGCACAAUGGGGGAAACCCCGAUGCAGCGACGCCGCGUGGGUGAAGAAGUAUUUCGGUAUGUAAAGCCCUAUCAGCAGGGAAGAAAGAAGACGGUACCUGACUAAGAAGCCCCGGCUAACUACGUG